AUAGAAUACAAACCCUAGUAUUUAUUUUCACACCGUGUUCAAAGAGGCAAUCCCUCAACUAGAGUCUCCCUUCAACAAUGAGAGCUAAGUGGAAGAAGAAGCGUAUGAGGAGAUUGAAGAGGAAGCGCCGAAAGAUGAGGCAGAGAUCCAAGUAGAGACAUCCGGCGCGCCGUUUCUAGGGUUUCGUCUUCGUUUACGUUAUUUGUUUUUCGAAUUUUGUUAUGUAGUGGAUUAUGAAUGACUCUUCUAAACACAAGUUUUUGGAUCUAUGUUUUAAUUAAUUGAGGUUUUCGUUA